rnacentral:tRNA from 1 species
GGUGGCUUAGUGGUAGAGCUCUUGCCUUGCAUGCACGAGGCCCUGGGUUCGAUUCCUCAGUACCA